rnacentral:rRNA from 1 species
UCCAGAGAAUUUAGCAGAGAUGCUUUAGUGCCUUCGGGAACUCUGAGACAGGUGCUGCAUGGCUGUCGUCAGCUCGUGUUGUGAAAUGUUGGGUUAAGUCCCGCAACGAGCGCAACCCUUAUCCUUUGUUGCCAGCACGUAAUGGUGGGAACUCAAAGGAGACUGCCGGUGAUAAACCGGAGGAAGGUGGGGAUGACGUCAAGUCAUCAUGGCCCUUACGAGUAGGGCUACACACGUGCUACAAUGGCGCAUACAAAGAGAAGCGACCUCGCGAGAGCAAGCGGACCUCAUAAAGUGCGUCGUAGUCCGGAUUGGAGUCUGCAACUCGACUCCAUGAAGUCGGAAUCGCUAGUAAUCGUAAAUCAGAAUGUUACGGUGAAUACGUUCCCGGGCCUUGUACACACCGCCCGUCACACCAUGGGAGUGGGUUGCAAAAGAAGUAGAUAGCUUAACCUUCGGGAGGGCGUUUACCACUUUGUGAUUCAUGACUGGGGUGAAGUCGUAACAAGGUAGGCGUAGUGCU